rnacentral:rRNA from 1 species
AGUGAACGCUGGCGGUAGGCCUAACACAUGCAAGUCGAACGGCAGCACAGUAAGAGCUUGCUCUUACGGGUGGCGAGUGGCGGUCGGGUGAGGAAUACAUCGGAAUCUACUUUUUCGUGGGGGAUAACGUAGGGAAACUUACGCUAAUACCGCAUACGACCUACGGGUGAAAGCAGGGGAUCUUCGGACCUUGCGCGAUUGAAUGAGCCGAUGUCGGAUUAGCUAGUUGGCGGGGUAAAGGCCCGCCAAGGCGACGAUCCGUAGCUGGUCUGAGAGGAUGAUCAGCCACACUGGAACUGAGACACGGUCCAGACUCCUACGGGAGGCAGCAGUGGGGAAUAUUGGACAAUGGGCGCAAGCCUGAUCCAGCCAUACCGCGUGGGUGAAGAAGGCCUUCGGGUUGUAAAGCCCUUUUGUUGGGAAAGAAAAGCAGCAGGUUAAUACCCCGCUGUUCUGACGGUACCCAAAGAAUAAGCACCGGCUAACUUCGUG